UGCUAUACAUGCAAGUCGAGCGAGCCGAACUAAUUGAUUACCUUCGGGUAUGAAGUUAGGGAAGCGAGCGGCGGAUGGGUGAGUAACACGUGGGUAACCUACCCUAUAGUCUGGGAUACCACUUGGAAACAGGUGCUAAUACCGGAUAAAAGGAGAGAUCACAUGAUUUCUUUUUGAAAGGCGGCGUAAGCUGUCGCUAAAGGAUGGACCCGCGGUGCAUUAGCUAGUUGGUAAGGUAACGGCUUACCAAGGCAACGAUGCAUAGCCGAGUUGAGAGACUGAUCGGCCACAUUGGGACUGAGACACGGCCCAAACUCCUACGGGAGGCAGCAGUAGGGAAUCUUCCACAAUGGACGCAAGUCUGAUGGAGCAACGCCGCGUGAGUGAAGAAGGUUUUCGGAUCGUAAAGCUCUGUUGUUGGUGAAGAAAGAUAGUGAGAGUAACUGCUCAUUAUUUGCCGGUAAUCAACCAGAAAGUCACGGCUAACUACGUGCCAGCAGCCGCGGUAAUACGUAGGUGGCAAGCGUUGUCCGGAUUUAUUGGGCGUAAAGCGAGCGCAGGCGGAAAGAUAAGUCAGAUGUGAAAGCCCUCGGCUUAACCGAGGAAUAGCAUCGGAAACUGUCUUUCUUGAGUGCAGAAGAGGAGAGUGGAACUCCAUGUGUAGCGGUGGAAUGCGUAGAUAUAUGGAAGAACACCAGUGGCGAAGGCGGCUCUCUGGUCUGUAACUGACGCUGAGGC
rnacentral:rRNA from 1 species